GAACAGCUGGAUAGGGGAAACAGCUCGAGUCGUACAAAAUGGAAUAUAACGAUGCGGAUGAAGUUCGGAAUGACACAAUUUCAUGUGAACAACAUCUAAAGACCUGCAUCACCAUACUGAGAGUGUUUCCGUUUUGUUCAUGUUUUUCCCGAGCCCCUGUACUGCACAACAAGGAUGAGGAAGUGAAUCACUGGUUGAGAUGUACAUACAGUAUGUCAUAUGAAGAGGGCUUGUGCCGGUGGUUGUGUGAAAGACCUCAUGAGAACAGGUGCCCUGAUGUCUUCAGAUUGGACAAGUGAAAGAUUGGAAAAGACUAUCGUCACCAGACAGGGCUUUUAUGUCUCAGAUGUUGCUCCGUCUUCAUGUUUGGACGGGUUUGACAUGACAAGUUUGCAGAUGAUGAAAGGGGAAACCAACCUUUGAUAGUGGACUGAUCCGAGUUGGCACUGUGGUUGGGAACGUAGUAGUCCAUGCUAUCUCUUCUGCUCUGCCCAGUCCAGCCUGUCAUGGUGGGGUACUGAUCACAGGUCAUCUAGGGUUUGGCUGCUUUGCAGAGCCAGUUAUCAGUCAUACUGAAAACCACUAACUAGACUAGAGGAUGAAUACUAUUUAAUGCAUCACUCUUUCCUUCUUCUCGUGUAAUCAUGUAUGAAGUGAAAGGGUGGAUUGUUCCUUUGCCUGUCUAAGAUCAGUGAUAACUUUGUACGGAAGUAAAGGAUGCAUUGCAAAGCUAUUUGAACAGGGCCAGCCUCGCCUAGUGGUCAAAUCAGUGUGGACACAACAAUCACCCUUCAAAGGCUCACAGUCCACUGCUGUUUAUAGUCAACAAAGACAAGACCUUCACCAACUGUGAUUUCCUAGGUCCUCUCAUGCACUGCACAACAAAAGGCUUUCUGUCACAUACUGUACUGUACACUUGAAAUAUCUGUUGUGACUUCAUUGAUUAUUUCUGGUGCAUUACAACACAGAGGCUGAGUCUUUACACUUAAUCAGGCCUGUCUAAUCACCUGAUACUGGAAGAUCUGGUAUCCUCUCCCUAUCUGAGCUCCAUUGAGAUGUGUGGCACUUUCAGGAUCCCAUGACCUAAGUACAUGUAACACAUUCAUUAACCAUUAAGUCAUUUUCACUUCUGAGUGGUAUUGUGAAAACCCCUUAAACUGUGUAACCCUACAUGACACUAAGGCGGCGUUUACACAGGCAGCUCAAUUCUGAUAUUUUCAAUGAAUUGGUCUUUUGCCUAAUCAGAUCAGCUCUUUUGCCAAUAAUUGGGCAAAAGAUCAGACAUGGGCUGCCUGUGUAAACGCAUGCUUUUUGGGGAAGGAUGUGAACAGACAACUCAUAGAAUCAUGGAAGAUUACAAAAGUUACACUGAACAGCAUUGGCAGAGUAGGGGUUAGCCUGUGAUAGUGGGAUGCCCCUAAUUAGAAAACUAAUGUUUGACGCAGGGUGGAUUUGAUCUUACCUAGUUUCACUUUGAAGACUUACUGAAAAAUAAUAUAUAAUAUAUACUUCCUCUCUCACAGGACAGCUAUGCCUUGUGGCACAGUACCUGUAUCUUGGGAGGGAGGAGGGGUGAUGGGCUUUUAGCAUGCACCCUAAACACCAAUUAGACGUCAAUAAUGAAGAGGCAGGAGGAGGGAAGGAGCGACCAAUCUCUCUGAGGCCCCACAGGGCCCAAGGCCCCCAGGUCUCUCUUCUUUAACAUGGGCUUUUUCUGGGCUUUCGCGACACUCUGACAGCAAUUAUCUCCUUACCAUUUACAUGUGAACAAAAAGAAGGAAAAAUAACAGAUAAGAAUAAAUGUCAGACAUGCUUUUAAGUAAUGUACCCAGUAGGUCCCUCAGGUCCUCUGGCACUGGCCUUUUAACUAU